rnacentral:lncRNA from 1 species
AAAAAUAAAUAAAUAAAUAAUUGAAGAGUAAAAAGACAAAAGGAAGUGGCAGCCAACUGGUCAGUCAGCUUUAUCAUUGUGAACUGGAAUCUACCGUAUCCCCACUUCUGGACCGUUCAAGAAGGGCCUACAAGGCAAGUCAUUCUCGUCGACACAUCUGGACCGUUCAAGGAGGGCCCACAAGGCAGGUCACGAAUGGUCAAAGAGUGGACUGAAUUCGCCAAAAUAUUACGUGGUGAGGAUCCACCAAAGUGAGUCCGACCAUAAUAAUGGAAGGGCAAAAUAGUAAAAUGGAGACGGUAUAGGGCAAAAUGGUAAAAUGGUAAAAUUGAGAGAGUAUGGCGAAGAUUUCAAUGUCUG